CCCCCGAAACCCUAACUUUUACUCGCAGCUGGAUUCAUCGUCGCCGAUGACUAGGCCGUCGAGUAUGAAGUUGAUGGUGGUAGUAGAAGGCCACAACCUGGAGAUCUCAACUUGGUAAAGAAUAAAAGGUUGAAAGAAUUCAAAGAAAUAAGCUCAGAGAGGACCCAAGAGUGCUGAAGUACUUUAGUUGCGGGGAGAGAUAAAGCAACUCUUGAAAGAAGCUGUUCUGAGUGCAUUAUUUCUUUUGAUAUUAGAUCAAAACAACAUUUCAUUGGUUUAACAUUUCAUGAUUCUUUUUUUAACCAUUAAUGUUGAUGCUGUUGGCAGCUUAUGGAAACUCAAUCCAGCAGAAAAUUUUCCAAAAUGCUCCACCAGAUCUUGGUGAAAGAAAUCAAUUUUUUCCCCCAAUUCAAGAUUCAAGAUGUGAAGUGUAUUAACAAUGUAUUAGUUUAAUUAGUUGUAGUGUAUUAUUAUUUAUUUUGUUCUUUGUAAAUUUCUGUUUUGUA